GAUGAACGCUGGCGGCGUGCCUAAUACAUGCAAGUCGAGCGAACGGACGAGAAGCUUGCGUCUCUGAUGUUAGCGGCGGACGGGUGAGUAACACGUGGAUAACCUACCUAUAAGACUGGGAUAACUUCGGGAAACCGGAGCUAAUACCGGAUAAUAUUUUGAACCGCAUUGUUCAAGAGUGAAAGACGGUCUUUCUGUCACUUAUAGAUGGAUCCGCGCUGCAUUAGCUAGUUGGUAAGGUAACGGCUUACCAAGGCAACGAUGCAUAGCCGACCUGAGAGGGUGAUCGGCCACACUGGCACUGAGACACGGCCGAGACUCCUACGGGAGGCAGCAGUAGGGAAUCUUCCGCAAGGGGCGAGAGCCUGACGGAGCAACGCCGCGUGAGUGAUGAAGGUCUUCGGAUCGUAAAACUAUGUUAUUAGGGAAGAACAUAUGUGUAAGUAACUGUGCACAUAUUGACGGUACCUAAUCAGAAAGCCACGGCUAACUACGUG
rnacentral:rRNA from 1 species